rnacentral:rRNA from 1 species
AUUGAACGCUGGCGGCAGGCCUAACACAUGCAAGUCGAAUGGUAACAGGAAACAGCUUGCUGUUUCGCUGACGAGUGGCGGACGGGUGAGUAAUGUCUGGGAAACUGCCUGAUGGAGGGGGAUAACUACUGGAAACGGUAGCUAAUACCGCAUAACGUCGCAAGACCAAAGAGGGGGACCUUCGGGCCUCUUGCCAUCAGAUGUGCCCAGAUGGGAUUAGCUAGUAGGUGGGGUAACGGCUCACCUAGGCGACGAUCCCUAGCUGGUCUGAGAGGAUGACCAGCCACACUGGAACUGAGACACGGUCCAGACUCCUACGAGAGGCAGCAGUGGGGAAUAUUGCACAAUGGGCGCAAGCCUGAUGCAGCCAUGCCGCGUGUAUGAAGAAGGCCUUCGGGUUGUAAAGUACUUUCAGCGGGGAGGAAGGGAGUAAAGUUAAUACCUUUGCUCAUUGACGUUACCCGCAGAAGAAGCACCGGCUAACUCCGUG